rnacentral:misc_RNA from 1 species
UUUGUAUUUAAUUAGGAAAUAAUCUCUAAUUUUAUUUUUUGCAGUAACUAAGAGUGGAAAUGAAGUUGUUGUUGUUUUACAGCAUUUUUGCACUUACAACUUUUAUCAUUUGUAAUGCAAAAGAAAAAAAGAACGACAUUUUAAAAUGUGAUGACGACGAUUGUGAUUUAAAUCCAGAAUGUUGCAAGGUGCGUACAAAAUUAUUAGAUAAGCUCAAUGAAAUUAAAGCAAUUGGUGGUGUCAAGAAAGAGAAAGUGAAGAGAAUUUUAAUGAAAAAGGAACAAAACAACAGAUUUAAAAGAUUUUGUAAGCCCAUCGGGUUAUUAUAUCUGUUAUGUUGAUAGUUGCUGUAAUCGAUCAGGAUAGUACACAAAGGAAAAAAUACAUUCUUUACCAAACGUUUUAAAGAGGAUGACGAUUUUACUACAUGCACGAUUCUACAAAUAUGUACUUUGAAGAUAAAAAAAAAAAUUAUGUUCUACUUCUUGUCA